rnacentral:lncRNA from 1 species
GGGUCUGGGAUAGCGGGGUGGCCGAUGUUCGGAGUGAUCAGCGGCCACACGGGGUACGCGCACAGGUUGUGGAGGGUGAGGUUCGUCACCGUGUCCUGUGAGGCAGCUGCCAUGGGAGUGAGCACGGCGAGCACCAAGGUGAGAAAUGCCUUGAAUGUGGGCAUGGCGCACUGGUGAAGGGAUCAGAACUCGAGUACUGAUGUUGAUCAUAGCCUCAUGGGUGUAUAUAAGAGAGGAAAUUUUGUGGUGGUUAAGUGGCAACAAAGGCAUGCAUGCAUGCAUGGUUGCAUGUAAGGAAGCAUGCAUCCAUCGGCAGAGAUGGCGCCUCCACUCUAGCUAACUUAGU